AGUGUGGCAUGUCAAGCGAUGCUAGGUCUGUGCUGGGGAUCCGAACCUGCAAACCGUGGGCCGCUAAAGCAGUGUGUGAACUUAACCACUGUGCUACAGGGCCAGCCCCUUCUCAGCAUUUUUAAGACAUUGGUCUACUGUCUUCUAGCUAACUCUGUUGUGGUUGAGAAUUCUCAAGCCAUUUUGAGUUCUAAUAUUUUAUUUGUGACUUUUUAUGAUGGUGAGCAUUCCCUGGAAGCUUUAAAUCUUUCUGUUUGUCUCGAGCAUUUCGUGAUGAUGUGCCUUUAAUGUGGAUUUACAGUUGUCCACUGUGCUGAGCUCAGCCCCAGAGAAUCUUGUUUCCACCGAGCCAAAAUCUUAUAAGGUCUAUAAAGGAAGCAGAGAAGGACCUAUUAUUGCAAUUUUGCAAGUGAGGAAAUUGAGGGUCAAAAAAGAUGGCCGUCAAGGAAAGAGCUGGAUGUCACCCCCAGGUCUCCUGGCAACCAGACUCCAGAGCUCUUGUUAUUUUGAGGAAGAGGGAUGAGAUUCAGCUCUCAAGCAUGUUUUCACUCUGAGCGCCCAUUGGCUGAUGCACAGGAAAUUCGGAGAUGCUGUAUUUGUCAAUUGGGUUGGACUUGGCGGACACACUGAGCUCAGAUUCUGUAUCAGGAACUGACAACUGUUUAUCAGUCUUGACUGCUCAGCAGGAACAAAGGCUCAUCCCUCCAGGAACAGUAGCUCUAUGCUGCCAUCUACUGGAAUUCUAGAGAAGAUGCUAGCAUUGCGUGUGUAUUAGAAAAUGCUGUAAAAUGAAAUUUUUUAACAGACAGCUAGAAAAACAGAAGGAAAAAAAAUAGAUGUUUGUAUGCUGUAGAAGUAAGCCUGAGAAUAUUAUUUCAAAAUCAAAGUGGCUGUAAAUAAAAGUAAUGAACUUAUGCUAUACUUUCAUUUUCUUUUCAACAUUUGCUGCACUUGCUGUUAGAAGCUUUGGACUGAAAUCAAAUACCUGCUGUAGGACUGAAUCAGACUGACAUCGAGCAUUAUCUCCCGCAGAGGUGCAAUUUUCUUCUUGGCUAAAACCAAUUUAGAAAUAAGAAAGGCAAUAAGGAAAAUUCUCCCAAGAUUCAGCAAAGAUCAUAGUAAAAGGGAAUUCCUGAGAUAAAAUGGUGUUUGUAAUCCCUCAGAAU
ensembl:lncRNA